GAUGAAGAACGUAGCGAAAUGCGAUAAGUAGUGUGAAUUGCAGAAUUCAGUGAAUCAUCGAAUCUUUGAACGCACAUUGCGCCCCUUGGUAUCCCGAGGGGCAUGCCUGUUCGAGCGUCAUUUCACCACUCAAGCCUGGCUUGGUGUUGGGCGACAUCCUCUUUGGGGACGCGCCUCGAAACGCUCGGCGGCGUGGCACCGGCUUUAAGCGUAGCAGAAUCUUUCGCUUUGGAAGUCGGGGCCCCGUCUGCCGGAAGACCUGCUCGCAAGGUUGACCUCGGAUCAGGCAGGGAUACCCGCUGAACUUAAGCAUAUCAAUAAGCGGAGGA
rnacentral:misc_RNA from 1 species